rnacentral:rRNA from 1 species
UAUUGAUAUGCUUAAGUUCAGCGGGUAGUCCUACCUGAUUUGAGAUCUAAUCUUAAAAUGUAGACAUUCUGAUUAGAAGCUUCCUUUAACCCAACCCGGCUCUAGUCCGAAGACUAGAAUUCCUCAGCGAAUAGUCUAUUACGCCAAGUCA